GGAUGGGAACGGAUCGGAAUGAAACAAGGAUGGUGCUCGGGGUGGGGGGGAUGCUCCUGGGGGUCCCACGCGCGGCGGGACAGGGACAGUGGGGCUGGGGACAGUGCAGCGGGUCCGGUCAGAGCCAUCUGUCCCUGCCAUCACCGCCUGUGCUGCCUGAGCCCCCACCCGGAGGCGUCAGGAGAAAACAAUACCUCGAGGAUUUGUAGCUGGUUCAGUCGUGCUCUCUCCCCUCCUGGCCCAGGAUGUGAUUCAUCACAUCUUGCACAAGAUGGAGCUGGGCUGACGAGCCCUGCCCGCCAGGAUGGCUGUUCAGGGCCUUAUCUCUGCAAUAAAGAGCACGAGACACUGAGCUCUGCACCUUCCAGCAACGGCUGCCACCUCUGCUGUGCUAGCCCAGGUACCCUGGGCUGCACUUCUGCUUGCUGUGGGCUCUGAGUUUACACUCAAGGAAUCCAAACCCAGAAGAAAUCACUGAAGGUUUCCAGUGUGACCCUCUGCAUACCAUGAACUGCAGCACCGCUGCAGUGCCUCCCUGCCCUCCUGCAGCAGCUCCUGCAGGGAACAGCUCUCGGGUGUCACACACCCAGGAGGGCAGGAGGCUCCUUCCCGUGCUCAGGAAACUGCUCUGUGCUGGAUUAUCCUGGCUGCUCUCAUUUGUCCCACUCUGGAGCUCCAGCCUGCCCUCACUGUGUCCCAGCUCACACCUGUGUGCCAGGGCAGGCAGGCACAAAGCCUCUCAUUUCUCCUGACAGGCAUAAGCUGUAAUCUAAUUACUGUCACGAUCUUUCUGUUAAACCCAGCAGGUUAAGCUCCUUAGUUCAGGGUGUUGAAUGCUGUUUAAAACCGGACCCUCAUUUUUGAUUCUCUGACUACCAGUUCUGAGUGAGGAGCAGCAGCUUGUUUGCGGGGUCUUGUUCUUUUCAUUUUUAAAUAUAACUGAAUCUAAAACCCAUUCCCGACUCAAAUUAAAGGCAGAGAUUUUAUAACACAAACAAAAA